UACGUAUGGAGCAAGCGUUAUCCGGAUUUACUGGGUGUAAAGGGUGCGUAGGCGGCACAGCAAGUCAGAUGUGAAAGACCGGGGCUCAACCCCGGGGCUGCAUUUGAAACUGCCGAGCUUGAGUCCGGGAGAGGCAGGCGGAAUUCCUAGUGUAGCGGUGAAAUGCGUAGAUAUUAGGAGGAACACCAGUGGCGAAGGCGGCCUGCUGGACCGGUUCUGACGCUGAUGCGCGAAAGCGUGGGUAGCAAACAGG
rnacentral:rRNA from 1 species